AGGGGAAAAUAAAUUGUUAAAGUUCUAUUGGGACACCCUGUACAGUCGCAGUCUUGUGAUCCCGUAGGAUACACAUUUCAGUCUAACGCCCCGAAGGACGUACAUAUCAGUCUAACGCCCCGAGAGACGUACAUAUCAGUCUAACGCCCGAGAGACGUACAUAUCAGUCUAACGCCCGAGGGACGUUCAUAUCAGUCUAACGCCCCGAGGGACGUUCAUAUCAGUCUAGUGUUCUGCAGAAACACAUAUCAGUCAAAUGCUCCCGAAGGUGCACAAUAAAUUGGUGAUCCCGUGGGACACCUACAAGGUAAACAUCCCAAUACAACCUAACAAUUUAUCCCCUCAUUCCAUUCAACCCAUCUUUCAGUUACUUCAAAUCACAAAGUCCUUUCUUUCAACAUCCUAACAGUCAACUUAUUUUACUACAAUCAUAUGUCUGUCAGUAAAAUGCUAAUACAUCAGUCAAUCCACUAUACAGUCAAGUCAAUACACCCCUCAGUUCACCAGUACAAACCACAGUUCAGUAUAAUCCACAUCCAACCGAAACAAAUUCACUAGUUCACAUCCAAUCUUUAUACAGCACAAUCUAUUAAUAUCAUCAUGUACACAUAAGCAUAAUUUCAGUCAUUCACAUGUAUACUUUCGGCAAUCCACAUCAAUUCACACAUCAAUGUAUAUAUAUAUUGUUUCCAGUCAAAUACAACAUACACUAAACAUUUAGUCUGCAAUCAAACAUGUACA
rnacentral:lncRNA from 1 species